GAUGAACGCUGGCGGCGUGCUUAACACAUGCAAGUCGAACGAUGAUCCCAGCUUGCUGGGGGAUUAGUGGCGAACGGGUGAGUAACACGUGAGUAACCUGCCCUUAACUCUGGGAUAAGCCUGGGAAACUGGGUCUAAUACCGGAUAUGACUCCUCAUCGCAUGGUGGGGGGUGGAAAGCUUUAUUGUGGUUUUGGAUGGACUCGCGGCCUAUCAGCUUGUUGGUGAGGUAAUGGCUCACCAAGGCGACGACGGGUAGCCGGCCUGAGAGGGUGACCGGCCACACUGGGACUGAGACACGGCCCAGACUCCUACGGGAGGCAGCAGUGGGGAAUAUUGCACAAUGGGCGAAAGCCUGAUGCAGCGACGCCGCGUGAGGGAUGACGGCCUUCGGGUUGUAAACCUCUUUCAGUAGGGAAGAAGCGAAAGUGACGGUACCUGCAGAAGAAGCGCCGGCUAACUACGUGCCAGCAGCCGCGGUAAUACGUAGGGCGCAAGCGUUAUCCGGAAUUAUUGGGCGUAAAGAGCUCGUAGGCGGUUUGUCGCGUCUGCCGUGAAAGUCCGGGGCUCAACUCCGGAUCUGCGGUGGGUACGGGCAGACUAGAGUGAUGUAGGGGAGGCUGGAAUUCCUGGCGUAGCGGUGAAAUGCGCAGAUAUCAGGAGGAACACCGAUGGCGAAGGCAGGUCUCUGGGCAUUAACUGACGCUGAGGAGCGAAAGCAUGGGGAGCGAACAGGAUUAGAUACCCUGGUAGUCCAUGCCGUAAACGUUGGGCACUAGGUGUGGGGGACAUUCCACGUUUUCCGCGCCGUAGCUAACGCAUUAAGUGCCCCGCCUGGGGAGUACGGCCGCAAGGCUA
rnacentral:rRNA from 1 species